rnacentral:rRNA from 1 species
AACGAACGCUGGCGGCAGGCCUAACACAUGCAAGUCGAGCGCGCCCUUCGGGGUGAGCGGCGGACGGGUGAGUAUCGCGUGGGAACGUGCCCUUUUCUACGGAAUAGCCUCGGGAAACUGAGAGUAAUACCGUAUACGCCCUUUGGGGGAAAGAUUUAUCGGAAAAGGAUCGGCCCGCGUUGGAUUAGGUAGUUGGUGGGGUAAUGGCCUACCAAGCCGACGAUCCAUAGCUGGUUUGAGAGGAUGAUCAGCCACACUGGGACUGAGACACGGCCCAGACUCCUACGGGAGGCAGCAGUGGGGAAUCUUAGACAAUGGGGGCAACCCUGAUCUAGCCAUGCCGCGUGAGUGAUGAAGGCCUUAGGGUUGUAAAGCUCUUUCAGCUGGGAAGAUAAUGACGGUACCAGCAGAAGAAGCCCCGGCUAACUCCGUG